UAUUUCUUUUUUUAAUUGAUACCCACAGCGCCCAUAUAGGCAUUAUAGUGGGGGGGGGUACAGAAAAAGAACAUGAAAAUUGCAGGUUCACAUAAGUUUACAUCAAUUUGUGU
rnacentral:lncRNA from 1 species